rnacentral:rRNA from 1 species
GACGGGGGGGGGCAAGUGUUCUUCGGAAUGACUGGGCGUAAAGCGCACGUAGGCGGCUUUCUAAGUCAGGGGUGAAAUCCUGGAGCUCAACUCCAGAACUGCCUUUGAUACUGGAGAGCUUGAGUCCGGAAGAGGUGAGUGGAACUCCGAGUGUAGAGGUGAAAUUCGUAGAUAUCGGGAGGAACACCAGUGGCGAAGGCGGCUCUCUGGGCAGAUACUGACGCUGAGACGCGAAAAGCGUGGGUAGCAAACAGG